rnacentral:rRNA from 1 species
UACGUAGGGUGCGAGCGUUAAUCGGAAUUACUGGGCGUAAAGUGUGCGCAGGCGGUUGAGCAAGUCGAGUGUGAAAGCCCCGGGCUUAACUUGGGAAUUGCGCUCGAAACUACUUGACUGGAGUGUGGCAGAGGAAGGUGGAAUUCCACGUGUAGCGGUGAAAUGCGUAGAGAUGUGGAGGAACACCAAUGGCGAAGGCAGCCUUCUGGGCCAGCACUGACGCUCAUGCACGAAAGCGUGGGGAGCAAACAGG